rnacentral:rRNA from 1 species
AUUGAACGCUGGCGGCAGGCCUAACACAUGCAAGUCGAACGAGUGGCGGACGGGUGAGUAAUGUCUGGGAACCUGCCCGAUGGAGGGGGAUAACUACUGGAAACGGUAGCUAAUACCGCAUACCAUCGGAUGUGCCCAGAUGGGAUGAGCUAGUAGGUGGUGUAAAGGCUCACCUAGGCGGCGGUCCCUAUCUGGUCUGAGAGGAUUACCCGCCACACGGGAACUGAGACACGGGCCAGAAUCCGACGGGAGGCAGCAGUGGAGAACAUUGGACAAUGGGCGCAAGCCUGAAGCAGCCAUGCCGCGUGUAUGAAGAAGGCCUUCGGGUUGUAAAGUACUUUCAGCGGGGAGGCGUUACCCGCAGAAGAAGCACCGGCUAACUCCGUGCCAGCCGCCGCGGUAAUAC